rnacentral:rRNA from 1 species
CUGUCUCAAGACUAGCCAUGCACGUCUAAGUACAAACUAAAUGAUGGUGAAACUGCAAAUGGCUCAUUACAACGGUUAUGAUGUACCCGGGAGUUCCGAUGGAUAUUUCCAGUAACACUAGAACUAAUACAUGUCCCUGCGUUUAUUAGUUUCGCACAGUCCGUCCCUGAGUCAUGGUAAACAGUUGAUCGACUCGACGUCCCGGAACAGUUUCCGCCCCAUCAGCUUCGAUGGUUGGGUAUUGGCCUACCAUUGCAACAACGGGUAACGAGGAAUUAGGGUUUGAUUUCGGAGAGGGAGCCUGAGAAACGGCUACCACAUCUACGGAUGGCAGCAGGCGCGCAAAUUACCCAAUGCAGACACUGUGAGGUAGUGACGAGAAAUAAUAAAGCGGGACUUCUGUUUCGCUAUUAUAAUGAGGAAUAACCAAAGGUCAUUCCGAUUAGCAACUGAUGGGAAAGUCUGGUGCCAGCAGCCGCGGUAAUACCAGCGUCAGUAGC